rnacentral:rRNA from 1 species
AUGGCUAAAGGCCCGUAUCGAGCCUUUGUAUUUCUCUUUAUUGCUUCUGAUGAUUUGAUUACAAGGGGAUACACGUAUAUAUAUAUAUAUAUAUACACUAGAGGCUACCUAGUACUACCAUACGAAUCCUACACGGGUGAAGGUUCCAAGUCCGAGCCGGACUGGACAUCCUGGUUUAUUCCAACAGAUACUACACACAAGGGCAAGGAAAAUUCUUACUCUUACAUUUGGAACAAGAGAAAGAUCAUUAUUCUACCAAAUAAAACUGAUGGUGAUAUCUCUAAGGAGGAGGGGAAAAGUAUGUUAACUAUCUCCUACACCUCUAAUGAGUUUAUGGAAGACUUGAAGGAGGCAGAUUUGUGUGCCGCACUUAUAGUAAAAGGAGAAGAGCACCCGGUUGUUGAAAUUCCAGCAAAGGUAUGUGGCUUAUUAGCAGAAUUUUAUAACAUACUUGGAGAGCCACAAUGUCUGCCAGCGAUGAGAGGAAGUCAACAUAGAAUCGACUUAAUUCUGGGAGCAAGUCUUCCUAAUUUUCCACACUAUCGAAUGAGCCCAAAAGAGCAUGAUAUAUUGAAGGAGAAAGUGGAGGAAUUGCUGCAAAAGAGGCACAUUCGAGAGUAUUAG